rnacentral:rRNA from 1 species
UACGGAGGGGGCUAGCGUUGUUCGGAAUUACUGGGCGUAAAGCGUGCGCAGGCGGUUUUGUAAGCCAGAUGUGGAAUCCCCGGGCUCAACCUGGGAAUGGCAUUUGGGACUGCAAGGCUUGAGUGCGGCAGAGGAGACUGGAAUUCCUGGUGUAGCAGUGAAAUGCGUAGAUAUCAGGAGGAAUACCGAUGGCGAAGGCAGGUCUCUGGGCUGACACUGACGCUCAUGCACGAAAGCGUGGGGAGCAAACAGG